UUUUGUUCUUCGUUGUGGUCGUGUGACGUUCUGACGUCAAAAAUCGAACGGUAGCCAUAUUUAAGAGCGCAAACAGCGCAAUUUCGUAUCGCCUACUUGCAUUGAAUCUUAUACGCUGUUUACAUUCAUCCUCGCUUAUUAACAUAGGAUGUAUUUGAUAGAUAACUAAUCCUACGCAUAUGUCUAGUACGUGAAAAACUACUUGUUAAGAAGAGCUCAAAUAGCUGCUACCUAGUCAUCUACUGAACGAUAUUGGAUGCAUCCAUUCUUUUGCUUCUACGGAUGCUUUUGCACUGCUUUGGCAUUCAUGAGGAAAAGGAAAGAGGAAGAGAAAAGAAAGGAAGAGAGUACACGAAGUUCUACGAAAAAACACAAUCGUUGAAGAAAAUGUAAAAUUUAUAUUGUGUGAAAUAUUGAUUGUAUUAUGAAAAGCUUAUUAUUUAUCAGUUAUUAUUUAUACAUUUGUGUCAUAGUUCAGUAAGUUACAUUAAGUCUUCCAUGUGUGAGUUACACAACGUGAAUUUGUCAAUAUCAAAGAUCUCAAUACUACAAAGGUGAUAGUAUUCCUAAUAAAUUCAGUACUGCAAA
rnacentral:lncRNA from 13 species